rnacentral:tRNA from 1 species
GGGCAGGUGGCGGAAUGGCAGACGCGCUGGACUCAAAAUCCAGUGAGAGUAAUCUCGUGAGGGUUCAACUCCCUCCCUGCCCA